rnacentral:rRNA from 1 species
UACGUAGGAGGCGAGCGUUGUCCGGAAUUACUGGGCGUAAAGAGCGCGUAGGUGGCGCGAUACGACCGGUGUGAAAUCCUCCGGCCCAACUGGAGGGGGUCACUGGUAACGGUCGUGCUUAUGAGUGCAGGAGAGGGACGUGGAACUCCGGGAGUAGCGGUGAAAUGCGUAGAGACCCGGAGGAACACCAGUGGCGAAGGCGGCGUCCUGGCCUGCGACUGACGCUGUGGCGCGAAAGCUAGGGGAGCGAACGGG